rnacentral:tRNA from 1 species
GGGUCAUUAGCUCAGUGGUAGAGCAGUUGGCUUUUAACCAAUUGGUCGAAAGUUCGAAUCUUUCAUGACCCACCA